GUGAAACUCAGACGAAACGCGAGAGAAGAAUAAGAAUGAUGAUUGAUUAUUAUUCAAAGUCAGAAGAGGAACUCAAGGCACAACAGGAAUUCAAGGAUUUUAUAAGAGCACAGAUUAAAGAAUUGAGGGAUCGUGAUCCUGCUGCAGCCGUGAAAAGAGAUUAAAAGAGUCACGAGAGCAACUUGUAGAUCUGAGGGAUAAAUUGACAAAUCUUUUGAAGCAAGACUGGAAACAAUUUAGAAAUGUACACAAGGUUAUUUCAGAUUAUGUGUUUCUUCUGAAUAGCUAUCCUUUCAAGCGUGAUGAAAUCUGGAGCGACGUAUCUGUCGAUUUGAACAUACUAAAGGAACUGCUAGAUAAAUUGGAAUACAAAUCUGCUGAGGCCGAAAAAAACCACUACAAAGAGCAGUACACAUUUCUCCGCUCUAUCCAAAAAAGAGCUAUGAUACUGGCGGGUGUGGAUUUCAAAUAUAUGUUGGAGUUCGCCGACCGUAAGUAAGAAGUAUUGUCGACUGGACGAGCUAAAAAAUAUGGCAAAGAGGUUCAUGUUUCGGAAUUUAAAAGCGACGAAAUAGAAGUUGACAACCCAAAGCUCGUUAUAGAUCAGUUCAAGGGUUAUGAGGAAAAAGUAAAUGAAGCCUCAAGUGAGAUAAAGACUGGUGGCAAUUUAAAUGUUUACAUUGACUCCCUGCCAGUAUUGAAAUCUGUUAAGCGCGUAUUGUUACGACUGGAGCAUAUGUGUUUAUUGAAACCUGAUGAUGACAUCGAAGUAAAUUCUAAGCGUAUGUGUUUAUGGAAACCUGAUGAUGACAUCAAGUCGAGGAAUGCCAAGAAAUCCACCGCUCAAUGCAACCAGACAGAUAGCGCGAAGUUGUUCUGUGCGUCUGCGUCAGGAGACUGAAAGAAUACUAAGAGUUAUCAAUUGGGUUAUAAGCUGUCAUACAAAUACUAAGACUGAAAGAAUAACGUAAAGAUCUAAAUUUUGUUAUCAAUCUAUUGAUACAAAUCAAUGAUGACCGAGAAUGCAUAAGAUUUGAUGAAAUAAGAUAGCGAAGUUGGAACUUACUUUGAGAUAUUUGUCGAUGAUGGAAAGAUAUGAGAAUGAGAUGCAGCCUCAAGACUCAGGAGACUCUCUCUGAGUCAGGGAAGAAGAAAAAAAGAGGAAGAACCGAAGUCGAAGAUAGGAAAGCUUAGGGUUUUCCCGUUUUAUACGAUGGAGAUUUGGAUGACACGUAACAAGCUACGUGUUUGAGUUUCAGCAGGGUAUAAAACUACGGGUUACGGGCCAGACCGCGGGUUUCACGGUACGGGACGGGUUAACCCGUUUCUUCACAAGCCACUAAUUAUACAACCCGCGCCCGUCUUGUUUAGUUACCAUCCGGAACGGAUACGGGUUUUCACGGGACGGAACGGACCAACCCGCGGGUUUUGGCUCGGAUUGCCAGCUCUAAUUUAGACAGAGUAUCCAUCAGGGGUUAUCUCUCUUUUUGCUUUGGAGCUUAAUGCUUUUUGAAAAUGUAAUAGUUUGGCGGGUAGGCUUGCAAGUUUCUGCUUAGAUACAGUCAUAUGACUUCUACUGAGAGGCAUAUUUGGUUUGCAAAAAUAUGUAUUAUUUUCAAAAACUUCAUCAUUGUUCAAAACACCCAUUUUUAUUUGAAUAGAAUGCAUCAGUCUU